UCCUUAGACGUUCUGGGCCGCACGCGCGCUACACUGACCAGUGCAACAAGCAUCCGUCCUUGGCCGACAGGCCCGGGCAAUCUUUGAACGCUGGUCGUGAUGGGGAUAGACUUUUGCAAUUUUUGGUCUUCAACGAGGAAUUCCUAGUAAACGCAAGUCAUCAACUUGCAUUGAUUACGUCCCUGCCCUUUGUACACACCGCCCGUCGCACCUACCGAUUGAAUGGUCCGGUGAAGCCUCCGGAUUGGCGCGCACCUCGGUGCCGCCGAGAAGUUGGCUAAACCUUNCNAUUUAGNGGAAGGUGAANUCGUANCA
rnacentral:rRNA from 1 species